rnacentral:rRNA from 1 species
AGAGUUUGAUCCUGGCUCAGGACGAACGCUGGCGGCGUGCCUAAUACAUGCAAGUUGAGCGCUGAAGGUUGGUACUUGUACCGACUGGAUGAGCAGCGAACGGGUGAGUAACGCGUGGGGAAUCUGCCUUUGAGCGGGGGACAACAUUUGGAAACGAAUGCUAAUACCGCAUAAAAACUUUAAACACAAGUUUUAAGUUUGAAAGAUGCAAUUGCAUCACUCAAAGAUGAUCCCGCGUUGUAUUAGCUAGUUGGUGAGGUAAAGGCUCACCAAGGCGAUGAUACAUAGCCGACCUGAGAGGGUGAUUGGCCACAUUGGGACUGAGACACGGCCCAAACUCCUACGGGAGGCAGCAGUAGGGAAUCUUCGGCAGUGGACGAAAGUCUGACCGAGCAACGCCGCGUGAGUGAAGAAGGUUUUCGGAUCGUAAAACUCUGUUGGUAGAGAAGAACGUUGGUGAGAGUGGAAAGCUCAUCAAGUGACGGUAACUACCCAGAAAGGGACGGCUAACUACGUGCCAGCAGCCGCGGUAAUACGUAGGUCCCGAGCGUUGUCCGGAUUUAUUGGGCGUAAAGCGAGCGCAGGUGGUUUAUUAAGUCUGGUGUAAAAGGCAGUAGCUCAACCAUUGUAUGCAUUGGAAACUGGUAGACUUGAGUGCAGGAGAGGAGGGUGGAAUUCCAUGUGUAGCGGUGAAAUGCGUAGAUAUAUGGAGGAACACCGGUGGCGAAAGCGGCUCUCUGGCCUGUAACUGACACUGAGGCUCGAAAGCGUGGGGAGCAAACAGGAUUAGAUACCCUGGUAGUCCACGCCGUAAACGAUGAGUGCUAGAUGUAGGGAGCUAUAAGUUCUCUGUAUCGCAGCUAACGCAAU